rnacentral:lncRNA from 1 species
CUAGAGUGUGUCCCCGAUAAACUGUGAGACCUCCCUGUUCUUGGUGACCCCAGUUGGGCUUUGGCCCCUCCAGCAACCUUGUGUCCCAGCCCUGCCCUUCUUCCCACCCCCUCAAUCUGCUACCCUGUUGCUCUCCUGGCGCUGAGAGGUGGGUCCAAGCAGAGUUGAUCAGUCCCUGCCUGCCCUGCCUAGGUCUAGCCAGGGGAGGUUGUGUGUGUGGGAGAAGACCCCGGGAUCUGCUGGGGUGGGAUGGAGGUUAUUAAAGAUCUAAGUGAGGAGGGGCUGGGGUUUGGAUGCGGGGUGAGGCCCGAGCGCUCACACUUCGUGUAGGGCGGGCAGGGGCCUGACCUCUUGCAGGGCAGUGGCCUUGGUGCCCUACCCCUGCCCUGCGCAGUAUUUAUUGCUAAAUUAUUGUCCAGGAGGGGCAGCACUGGGCCUGGCCCCCCGGGUAUUUAUUGCUGUACAUAGUGUAUGUUUGUGAUAUAUAAGGUUUUCUUUAUUUUGUAUAUGAUCAAUAAACCUUUUAAAGAG